rnacentral:rRNA from 1 species
UACGUAGGGUGCGAGCGUUGUCCGGAUUUAUUGGGCGUAAAGAGCUCGUAGGCGGCUUGUCGCGUCGGAUGUGAAAGCCCGGGGCUUAACUCCGGGUCUGCAUUCGAUACGGGCAGGCUAGAGUGUGGUAGGGGAGAUCGGAAUUCCUGGUGUAGCGGUGAAAUGCGCAGAUAUCGGGAGGAACACCGGUGGCGAAGGCGGUUCUCUGGGCCUGACCUGACGCUGAGGAGCGAAAGCGUGGGGAGCAAACAGG